CAGAUAUCGUUAGUUUUUGCGAUGGCUUUGCAGUAUAAAACAUGGCUUCGACCAAGAUGUUGCAUAGUUUGACGUAAAUCUGCAACAGUAACUACCAAGAUGCCUGCUCCUUGUGAACCGUGUAAAGAAUCCUGCAAGGGUGGUGCUUGCGCAGACAACUGUGCUUGCAAAGAUAAAGGCUGUGACGACUGCACUUCUAAAGGUGGUUGCUGCUAACCCCAUAACUUCAGCAUGGACUCGGACAGGCGCGGUCGCCGCCCCUCUCUCUUCACCCGCGCCAGCAACUUCUUAGAAACCUGCUUCCCCAUCACGUUCACUGUAGUCUUCUUUGUAACCCUCGUGUUCUUCUACUGUCUAAUAUAAUGUCCUGUUGAAGUUAU